UGUGGCAUGCCAAUGGCUACAUCCUAAUUACACCACCUCGGUGAUUAGAAUAUAAAGUAGGCAUUGUUGGUGAGUUAGAUUGUUUGGGAAUGCAGUAAAUUCUUCCCAAAGCUAAAUACUAAUAAGAGGUCGACAGGGAAUAAGUACCAUGAGAGAAAGAUGAAAGGACUUUGAAAAUAGAAUUAAAUACUGCUUAAAAUUAUUGGGAGGGAAUUAGAUGGAGGCCAAAGAUGCCCAAUGGUCAAAUGCGAAAUGAGGAGAACUAGUGUGCCACUUGGCUUGAGGAGUAGACUGAUGCGAUUGUGACAAUGCCCUGAGCUCAAACUGUCAUGUUAUACUCAAUGAGACAUGUUGUGACCAUGGAAGGAAGCACACACCCUAGGCAUGUCUCAAUACCUAUUGGUUCCCCAUUUGGCCUAUCUUGAAACAUGGACAAGAAGCCUAAAAUGUGCAUGAAUCAAUGGGUGAAUAAACUUUGUAAGAUGCAAGGAAGUUGAUUGGCGGAAUCCCCUCAUGCAUUGGACAACCAAUUAACUUAGAUCUUUUGAGAAGAGUUUGAGAAAAAGCAUGUUUGUUAAGAUCCGAAAGAUGGUGAACUAUGAUUGAGUGUGGUGAAGCCAAAUUGAAUUUUGGUGGAGGCCUGCAACGAUAUUAGCGUGCAAAUCAUUCAUUUGACUUGGGUAUAAGGGAAAAAGACUAAUCAAACCUUCUACUAGUUGGUUCCCUUCGAAGCUUCCCUCAAAAUUUCUAGAGCCCAAGUGUGAACUCUAUCCGGUAAAGUCAAUGAUUAGAGGCAUUGGAGGUGCAACUCUAAUGAGCCAUGCCAUGGAAUUGAGAACACUAAGUGGGGCAUUUUUUGUAAGAAGAACCGAUGAUGUGGGGUGAUUCAAAAGCUAGGUUAGGGUGCUUAAUUAUGUGCUAACCUAGAACCCACAAAGUGUAUCACUUAAUUAAGGCAAUAGGGUAUAGCCAUAGAAGCCAAAAUUUGCAAAGGAGUGUGUAAUAACUCACCUACCAAAUCAUCUAGCCCUCAAAAUGGAUGUUCUGUAUUGUUUAGCUCACACUCAUUAGACAGCGUGGGCAAUACAAGCUUCAAAAGGUAAUUAUGUUAAAAUUCCCAAACCAAGGCAUGACAUUUAAUGGCAAGGUUAGGGAGUUUGGAUACAUCAAUGCGGGCCCCAAGAAAAGUUAUCUUUACUUUUUAACAACUUACAUCCUAUAAUUGGCUCAGUUGGAGGUAGGGUUUAGGGUUUAGUGCCGAAUGAGCACUGCACGUUGCUUGGUGUUCCAAUGUGCCCCUUAGUGACCCUUGAAAUUCCAGAGAUCCAAGUGCCAAUCAUGAUCAGAUCUCUAUGGUAAACAUCCUCUAGUC
rnacentral:ncRNA from 1 species